rnacentral:lncRNA from 1 species
UACAACAGAUUUCCGUAUCAAUAAAUAAAUUACCAAAAAAAAUCAAAAAUUUAGGAAGACUUUCUAGCCAAUAUCCACGUGGUGUCUCUUGUAACUCCUAGGUAACUAUUAUAGUCGAAACUUUUCAAUAUAAAUAAUAAUAAAAUUAAUAUGUCAGGACUCAACUCGUGUAUACGUUAAAGUAUGCAGGGACUCAACUCGAGGUCAGCCGGGUAAAUAAAAUCAUAGAACUCCCGAGAGCCAAAUGUCCGGUCUUAAUAAUUGACAGGGACAAAAUUUCCUUUAACCAUAUAAUUCAUAUCAAUAAGUGAACAUUUGAUAAAAAAAAUAACAGCUUAAUGUUAUUUAGCUUUUAGAUAUUUAAUAUUUAUGUACCUAUCCAUACCUUUAUACCUUUUCAUUAACUAAAAAUUCAUUAAAUUUAUAUAUAUUCAACAUGUUCAUGACAAUAAUAAAUGAUGUUACCUUUUUGAAAAUAUAAGCAUCGUAUUAUAUUUCCUUGAAUUUAACUCGUUCUAUGCAGUAGGUAUAUCAUAUUAAAAUUAAGACUAUUUAAGGUUUGUUAAACGCCUAGUGAAAUGUCUAGUGGUAAAUUGAAUAUUUAUUUGUAUUAAAAAGUUUUCAGUCUAGCUUCAUUGAUAGAAAGGCGAAUGUGAUUUCAAAAACAGUUUUUACCCAAAAUCCUAUUAGGUAGUCCUUAAUCUCGUCGGUGUACAAUGUAGAAUAUAGAUCCCGGUAUAAGCACUUAUUAAGGCAAAAAAAUAAAACAUACUAGAAAAUAUAUACCUUUUAGGAUGUUUGUAAGACAUCUUGCGACUUCUAAAGGUCGGUUUCAUGUGCAUGUUUUCUUCCUUUAACUCUGAUUGCAGGUUCUGAUAUUGUUAUCCAAAAUAUUCUCCAUUUUGGCCUGACUGAAUACUUCGGCAUCGAAUAUAGAUGACGCAUGGAUCUUUAUACACCGUACUGUAAUCAACGCUUGCCCUUUUCUCCGAAUCUUAUCCAUUUCAAUCCGGUUUGUAAGGCAAAUGUUUUGUAGGACAUGAUUGUGGAAUUGAUCAACUCGAUUAUUUUGUUUGAAUUUAAGACUUUUAAUAACGAAUGAACUUUUAACAUUAUAAUACACUUGACAAGUGACUUUUGUCUUUUAUUUUAAUCUACACUCAACGUAGUUUUUCAAUUUUUCAACCAUUAAGGUUUUUGGUUUACGCAAGACGUGGUUACCGGUUCCAAUUUUAAGGGAAAAGUGGAAAACCACGAAUUACGGAUGUUCCGUUAGCAAUAUUUGAUAAGAGAGCGCAGUGGUUCUCAAAGUGCGUGCAAAUUGAAUUGAAAGCGUUAGAUAGAUAAUAAAUGUACAAUACACGAUGCGAGGCGCAAAAAAAAUAUAUUUUAAGUAGUAGCAUAGCGUCACAAUAACCAACCAAAACAGUUUUUUUUUUUUUUGUGGCCCGAUUAAUAAUAAACGGAAAUCGACUGGAAAAUAUUUUAUUUUACCAAACAAUAGGUCGUGAAGUCUAUUUUUAGACAGUGUACACAGCCAAGAGUUUCUCGGUCGUGACAUCCUUGAAAAAUCGGCGGUAACGAUAUAUAGUAACGCACGGUAUAUGUACACGAUUUCAACAAAGGCGCUUGAAAAGAAACACAUAUAUAGCGAAAUUGGAACAAAGUUGAGUGUAAAAGAUAUUGAAUAUCUUAAUCAAAAGGAUUCGUUUCACUACGGAGUCUAUUGUUUAUAUUAUACCGAAUGCGUGAUGAGAAACCGAA